ACGCCUACCAGGGGAAUUUAACCUAAGAAAAUAGUCCGACUUGGGCAAAAAACGGUGCUUUGCACUGGAGGCAAUGAAGACACGGCGGAGUCCCAGCUCGCAGGGAGCUCAGGUUCUGACGGCGUCAGAGGACAACACGCUCUGGACCAGCGCAGCGCCCAAGGGUCAGCGGCAGCAGCGAGCAGGGGGCACGGGAUGCGGGGAGG
rnacentral:lncRNA from 1 species